rnacentral:misc_RNA from 1 species
AAGGAAUAGUAAACGAAGAAAGCAAACGCAAAAGUGGAAUGUGAGUGGACCAAUAUAGAAAUUUCAACAUAGUUUGUGUUGAACAAUACGGGAGUGAUGCAGUUAUAAUAAUAAUUCAAUAGAUCUGUGCACGUCUUCUCUAAAAUAAAGUUUGGUGCGUGAUGAAAUGCACAAAAAAUAAUUUGAAAAUGGAAAUAGAAAAAAGGCAGCUUGAACCGAGCAAUUGUAGUGGAGAUGCAGGAAUAACAAAUGUUUCCCUAAUGGCAACAAAUUCCGUAGAUAAAUCAGAUAUUGAAGUUGCGGAAGAUAUGAACAAAACUCAAAAUCAUAAAACCCAAUCUAAUAAAGAUGAAACAAGUGACGAAACAGCGAAGAAGCCUACACAUAAUUCAGCUAUCAAGACCAAUGAAGAAGAUUCAAAUAUGAAUGAGAAUAUAUCAGAUAUAUCGGUAAAACAACAAGAAGUCUUAUUAACAAAAGCCCCUGAAAGCAAUGAGUGCUCCNAAACUCCAAAGUUGGAAGAAAGUGUGAAUAAAAAUAGUCUUGAUUUUAAAGAGACCAAAAGUGUAGAAAAUUCAAAUGAUUUAAAUGAAUUUGAAGAUUCGCAAGAUGCUGUCGAGGAUGACGAAAGUCAGAAGGGAGAAGCAUCAACAGCUGACGAUGACAACAGUCUUUCGCCUUCAACACAAUCGCAAUCACCACCACUUAGAGAUACAAUAAUUGCGACAUCAAGUGCAUCCAUUGCUUCAGCAAUUGGGGUAGCAGCUUCCGUAGUUGUGGCGGCUGCCGGUAUAAGAGCUUCUAUUCCAGAUACAAUCUUAUCGCCACCCAAGUCAGAAACACAAACAGAUGAUGCAAACACCGCUACAUCAUCCUCAUCACCAGCAUCGGAUUCUCAGCUCUCGCCGAUGAUUACCGAGGCCUCUAUUGCGAGCAGUGCAGCACUUACCCCAACUACACCACCAGAAGCACCAGAAAUGUCUGUCUCAAAUAAUAGUGGAGAGUCAACACCGUCUAAGACAGCUACCAAGAGGGGUGCCCCUGAUAUUGACUCAGUUGCGGAAGGUGGUGGCAAACGCGUUAUACAACCGAUUAAUCUUGUUGCAAAUGGCACCAUACCCAAAUCUAGUGGGAAACCGCUAAUGUCGGCCAUGAAUAAAAAAUUGAAAGAAAAAACUAUACGUGCACCACGACAAAGGAAACAAAAAUCUACGUUGCCUAUGUACGAAAGCGAGAUAAGCGACAAUAAAACGGGAAUUAAAUUAUGUAUAAAGAAAUCAGAUUCGACCGGCAAUUUGGCUGCUUCAACAGGUAUUUUAGUACCAACCGUCACAGCGAAAUUGGUGGAGACUACAACAACUACUGCUCCUAAGCAGACGCGCAAACGUUCCCGCAAAACGAAAUCAAAGGCACGCGUCGAUGACGACGAAAGUGAGCCUGAGGUAACGACGGUAAAGCGCGGGAAGAAUAAGGCCAGCAAUGCAGAACGUCAGAAGAAAGUCUCUUUUAGUGGCAUCGAAGAACAAGGCGAGAAACAUCGCGCCACAAUUGAGCAAGGCGAUUGGGGCGCACGCAUCCCACAGGAAAUACUUUUUAAGAUUUUUGAAAUUCUAGUUGAUCGUGAAGGUUGUUUGCCAACACUUUGUCGACUUGGUCGUGUUUGUACACUGUGGCGAAAUGUCGCGCUAACGCCAUCUUUGUGGAAAACUAUGGAUCUAUCUACGUGGAUAAAGGAUAAAUAUCGCACCGAACUCAAGCUAAAAUGGUUUGUAGACAAUCGAUGCAGCGAGUGCACAGAAUUGAAUGUUGCUAACUGGAAAAUGUCAGAUAUAAACUGCUUUCUAAACAAAUUGGCGGUCGGUUGUCCAAAUUUAACNAGCAUUACUCUGUCAGGUUGGAAAGGUUUCACUUCAGAUCAUUUGGCUUAUUUAGCCGAAAAUAUGCAAAAACUGGAACGCCUUGAUUUGAGUUCUGUUAAUGUGGAAAUGAACGCGAGCAAGAGCGCAGUGGGCCCACAAUCGCUGUGCAAUGCAUUACAAAUAAUGAAUAAACGUUUAACGCAUCUCUAUUUGGCACAUAAUCGGCUGGCCGGGAUCCCACAAAUAGUCGCUACUUUGGCUACACAUUGCCCCAAUUUGGUGAANUUAGAUCUCUCAAAUGUUACAACACAAGCGACUUCACACGGCAUCUUUCACAUUGAAAAGCUUCAGCANGGCUGCCCGAAAUUAAAAGUGCUACGAGUCACGAAUUCACACAUAACAUGGGGGAAUGCAACACUGCAAGAAGCGAUGGAUUCGCCUGGUUUCCCAGAGCUUGAGGAACUUUCGGUGGCAGCUUUAACGGAUGAAUGUCGUGUUAUCGGUGAUGACCAUUUGCAGCGCAUANUGAAAACCAGUUCGAAACUGAAGCUCUUGGAUGUGCGCGGUUGCGCACGACUCACACACGAAAGUCUUAUACGNCUACCAGCAUGGGACAUCAAGCAUUUAUUUUUGUCAUUUUGCUCAGUGACACGUGAUGUGGGCUCCGGCCUCGAGUUGAUCGCCUCAAAAUGGGCUCAUAGUCUUAUUGAAUUAGAUUUAGCUUGGGCGAAUGUGCAGCAACCACUUGACAAUGCAUUACGUGCAUUGGCCGAAAAGGGCAGCGAAUCGCCAUUAGCGCAUUUGAAUCUCUGUGGCUCGUCGGUUUCAGAUGAAGCAGUCAAGGAAAUACUUGCAAACUGUGCGCACAUGAGUUCAAUAAAUCUGUCAUCGUGUCGUGGUUUACCGCGCGGUGUCAAGCGUCUUAUGCAAGGUCAGCAAGAGUUACAAGAACUGCGUGAAGUGCUUAAGGUGCAGAUGAAAGUGAAAUUGCCCGCUCAAAUAAAGCAGGAGCAAGAGGAGGAAGAGCGACGGAAGCGCUCCGAACAAUGCGGCGCAACUGCUGAUGCUGAUAGCGGUGGUGGUGGCAGUAAUGUUCAAUCUAAUUGAAAUAAUGCCGUUACAUCACACAAAAUUAAAAAGCAAAAACUGUGCGUUAAUAUGAAAAAAUAAUGAGUAACAAAAAAAAAAAUUAUUUUUAACACAUGGAUUAUAAAUUUGUAGCUUAAACUAAAACUAUGAACGCGAAGAAUAACUUCAAUUAAUAUUAGAUUUCAUUAUGGAGUAUGACCUUUUCAGUUUUACUAUUAUUAGCACAUUCAAAAGAAGAUGUUCUGCUGCUGGUGGCAGAAAGACAUUAAAUUUACGUAGCUUCCAAAUUAAACACGGAAUUGUGUAACUAUUAUGUCAUUUGGCACUACUUUAUAACUUAACUUUUAUAUAUUCCUACAUUUAAGUAAGACUUUAAGUCACCGCUUAAUACUUGAUUUCUAUUUUUAUUUGGUCACAUUCAUACAAUUAUAUAUACAUUUGCAAUAUACAUUUACACCUAUAGUCACUGGAAUCCCCGCUAGUGUUAAUUUUUUAGUAAUACAAUUUGGAAAUGUUUAAGAAAAGAAUGUAUUAAGUUUCGUUUACAGUUAUAAUUGCUACGAAUUUGCAGUGAAAUUAAAAUAUUUUUUGUUACUUUAAAAAAUAUAUGUAAAAACGUAAACAUUGCAAAGAAAAUUAUGUUAUUACAUGUAAAAUAUUAAGAUUAAAUUAAGCGAAAAUAUCGAUUUAUUCGAUAAAAAUUAUCGAACGUUAUGAAAUCAGUCAGUUAUUUACAUAUAU